GUGAACGCUGGCGGCGUGCCUAAUACAUGCAAGUCGAACGAACCUUCGGGUUAGUGGCGAACGGCUGAGUAACACGUUGGAACCUGCCCCAAAGUAAGGCAUAGCCUCGGGAAACCGAGGGUAAUUCCUUAUGUGCUCUUCGGAGUAAAGAUUUAUCGCUUUGGGAGGGUCCCGCGGCCGAUUAGCUUGUUGGUGAGGUAAUAGCUCACCAAGGCGACGAUCGGUAGCUGGUCUGAGAGGAUGAUCAGCCAGAUUGGAACUGGAGACACGGUCCAGACUCCUACGGGAGGCAGCAGUAGGGAAUCUUCCACAAUGGGCGAAAGCCUGAUGGAGCAACGCCGCGUGCAGGAUGAAGGCUUUCGGGUCGUAAACUGCUUUUAUUUGGGAAGAUUAUGACGGUACCAAAUGAAUAAGGAUUGGCUAACUCCGUGCCAGCAGCCGCGGUCAUACGGAGGAUCCAAGCGUUACCCGGAUUUAUUGGGCGUAAAGCGUUGCGUAGGUGGUUUGGUAAGUGAGGUAUGAAAUAUCAGGGCUCAACUCUGAAGGUGUAUCUCAAACUACCAAACUUGAGGAUGGUAGAGGCAAGUGGAAUUCCAGGUGUAGGAGUGAAAUCCGUAGAUAUCUGGAGGAACACCAAUGGCGAAGGCAGCUUGCUGGGCCAUUCCUGACACUGAGGCACGAAAGCGUGGGGAGCGAACCGGAUUAGAUACCCGGGUAGUCCACGCCGUAAACGAUGGAUACUAGCUGUUGGGCGUAUCGACCCGCUCGGUAGCGAAGCUAACGCGUUAAGUAUCCCGCCUGGGGAGUACGGCCGCAAGGCUAAAACUCAAAGGAAUUGACGGGGACCCGCACAAGCGGUGGAGCGUGUGGUUUAAUUCGAGGCUACGCGAAGAACCUUACCAAGGCUUGACAUCCUGGUCACACGUCUAAGAAAUUAGAUGGUCAUUUAGUUGGACCAGUGACAGGUGAUGCAUGGCCGUCGUCAGCUCGUGUCGUGAGAUGUUAGGUUAAGUCCUUCAACGAGCGCAACCCUCGUGGUUAGUUGUAUUUUUCUAACCAGACUGCCUCGGCAACGGGGAGGAAGGAGGGGAUGACGUCAGGUCCGUAUUUCCCUUACGUCUUGGGCUACACACACGCUACAAUGGCCGGUACAAUGGGCAGCUAAGUCGCGAGGCGGAGCUAAUCCCAUCAAAACCGGUCUCAGUUCGGAUUGUAGGCUGAAACUCGCCUGCAUGAAGUUGGAAUCGCUAGUAACCGUAGGUCAGCACACUACGGUGAAUACGUUCCCGGGUCUUGUACACACCGCCCGUCACAUCACGAAAGUGACCAACGUCCGAAGCCUGCCUUUAUGGCGGUCCACGAUGGGGGUCAUGAUUGGGGUG
rnacentral:rRNA from 1 species